UUUUAGGGCCGCACCCGCAGCAGAUGGAGGUUCCCAGGUUAGGGGUCUAAUCAGAGCUAUAGCUGCUGGCCUACGCCACAGCAACAGCAACGCCAGAUCCAAGCCUUGUCUGUGACCCAUAUCACAGCUCAUGGCAAUGCCAGAUCCUUAACCCACUGAGCAAGUCCAGGGAUUGAACCUGCAACGUCAGGGUUCCUAAUUGGAUUCGUUUCCACUGUGCCACAAUGGGAACUCCAAAAAUGCAUCUUUUUAAUGGUUAGAGAUUAUCAAUUGUUAUUUAUGAUUUUACUGUGGCUUUCGAAUGACUCUGGUUUUACCGUGGCUUUUGAAUCACUGUAUAGAUGUUUUGUGAAGAAACAAGGAAGAAUGAUAAAAUCCUUUAUGUGCAAGCAUUUGUGCUAUUACAUCAAGCUAAAAUAAAGGAAGGGAAUGAGAGCGAGGCUAUGUUGCUUCAAACUUUAAUUCCUCUGGCUGAGCCCAGGACUUCCUCUCCUUCUAGGGAUCAAUUAUAAAAUCCUGUGUUAGUUUCUGGGGCACAGGGACUUGGUCUGGUAUCAUCAUCUAAUACCUGACAGGACACCCAAUUUGGGCCAGGAAGCACUCCUAGGACAGGGCAAUUUCUAUUGCUGUUAAUCUCAUAGGAGGCUAAAUACAAGCUGGGCUUCUCAGACUUGUUUAAUUGGAAGAUCAACUGUCCUUUAUAGGGAGGAUCCUCUAAACCUGAAGCCCACGUGGCAGUACCCACAGCUGAACCAAAGUUGUACCCCAAUGAGAGAAGAAUACCCUUAUUGGAACACUACUUAUUAGUGCAUCUUUGUAGGGCUUUGGAAAGGGGAACCAUAGAGAAAGGUUUAAACAAAAUUCAAGAAACUCAGCAAAAACAAAACAUAUGAAGACCUUUCUGAAUUUUUGGAAAGGAUCCAUCGGGCCUAUAGAUAUAAUCUUAAUGUAGAUCCUGAGGCCCUUGAAUAUAUUAGAAUGGUAAAUUUGACUUUUGGGGGGCAAGGUGCCUCAGAUAUCAGGAGAAAUUUGCAAAAAAUUAGACGGUGCAUUUGGAAUCAACCCUUCUCAAUAGGUAGAUGUUGCUUUUAAAGUGUUCAACAGGGAGGAGUUCCCGUCGUGGCGCAGUGGUUAACGAAUCCGACUAGGAAUCAUGAGGUUGCAGGUUCGAUCCCUGGCCUUGCUCAGUGGGUUAAAGAUCCGACGUUGCGGUGAGCUGUGGUGUAAGUCGCAGACGCGGCUCGGAUCCCGCGUUGCUGUGGCUCUGGCGUAGGCCAGUGGCUACAGCUCUGAUUAGACCCCUAGCCUGGGAACCUCCAUAUGCUGCGAGAGUGGCUCAAGAAAUGGCAAAAAAGACAACAAAUAAAUAAAUAAAUGGUAUUGGAUUCCUGGAAAAUGAGUAACCUGAAGAAAGGUAAGUCACUGUUAGGGAAGGAAGGAUGUGCUUACUGUAAGUAAGGAUGAAGAACAUUGGAAAACAGAUUGCCCUAGGCUAAAACAUAAGAAAAACAAUAAAAGAUGAGAGCCUCUCAUAUAGUACAAAGAAAUGAACACUCUGAUGAAUGAAGAGGCCUAGUGCCUCCCUUGUACUUGAGGUGCUUAAUUCCCUACAGGAGCCCUGGUAAAACUGGCAGUAGUAAAUGAGCUGAUUAACUUUCUGAUAGACCUCACCCUGAAGUUUUUCACGAGAACAGCUCAACACCAGAGCAUUCUUUAAUCCUACAAAUUAUGCUCAUGAAACCCACAGGAAGGGAGAUAGUUUUCCUUCCCCAUCUCAGUUCUAUAAAACUGUAAGACCAGAAGCGUGUGCCAAAAACACGUGGUCAUUAUGAAUCCCAUUAAAAAGGAAUGCUGAGAUACCUAAUCUAAAACAAUAAUCCUGAAUCAAGAGGAUCACUUAUCCUACAGAUUGACCUGUCAAAAUACCAGUCAGUAUACUACUUGUGUCUGCCCUUCCAGGACGUUUACAAAAUUGGUGGUGUUGGUAUUGUCUCUGUUGGUUAAGUGAAGACUGGUAUUCUCAAAUCUGGCAUGGUGGUCACCUUUGCUCCAGUCAACAUUACAACUGAAGUAAAGUCAGAUGUGCACCAUGAAGCUUAGAGUAAAGCCCUUCUUGGGAAUAAUCUGGGCUUCAAUGUCAAGAACAUGUCUGUGGGCAGAGGGGUAAACUGGGGGUUUGGGAUUGGCAUAUGCACACUGCGGUAUAUGGCAUUACUGGCCAACACGGACCUGCCUUAUAACACAGGUAACUCUAAUAUUCUGUGAUAAUCUAUAUGGGAAAAUAAUGUGAAAGACAAUGGAUUGAGUGUACAUGUGUAACUGAGACACUUUAUUGUACAGCAGAAAUUAUCACAACAUUGUAAAUCAACUAUACUUUAAUAAAACUUUAAAAAAUGAAUAAUAAAAAAGAAUGUGUUUGUCAAAGAUGUUUGUCUGUCAAAGAUGUUUGUCAUGGGAAUGUGCCUGGUCUCAGCAAAAAUGACCCACUGAUGGAAGCAGCCAAAUCAGUGCUGAUAUGCACCUGUGCUAGAUUGUCACACAGCUCACAUUGCUUGCCAAGUUUGCUGAGCUGAAGAAGAUUGAUCAUUGUUUUGGGGAAAAGCUGGAAGAUGGCCCCAAAUUUUUGAAGUCAGUGAUGCUGCCAUCGUUGAUAUGGUUCCUGGCCAGCCCAUGUAUGUUGAGAACUUCUCUGACUAUCCUGCUCUGGGCCAUUUUUGCUGUUCAUGGCAUGAGACAGAUUGUUGCUGCAGGUGUCAAAGCAGUGGACAAGAAGGCAGCUGGAGCUGGCAAGUUCAGUAAGUCUGCACAGAAAACCCAGAAGGCUAAAUAAAUAAUUAUCCUCAAUACCUGCCACCCCAGUCUUAAAUCAGCUGUGGAAGAACUGUCUCAACUGUGUCUCAAUUAUUUAAGUUUAAUAGCAAAAUACUAGUUAAUGAAAAUGAUGCAUCAUAAAACAUUCAGAAGGAAAGAAUGUUUUGUGGACCACUUGUUUGUGUGUGUGGCAGUUUUAAAUUAGUAUUUGUUUGGCCAGACCCACAGCAUAUGGAAAUUCCCAGGCCAGAGAUUGAAUCCAAGCUACGGGUGCAACCUUAACCCACUGUGCUGGGCCAGGGAUUGAACCUAUGCUGCCACAGAGACAACACUGGAUCUUUAACCCACUGUGCCACAGUGGGAACUUUCUAAGUUACUAGUUUUAAAAAUCAGUAGUUUUUAAUUGGUUAACGCCCUCCUUAAAGAAUCUAUCCCCUGAUUUGGGUUAAAGCAUUGAAACCAAAUUCAUCCUGGAGACCACAGUCAACAGGAAAAUAUGAAAAAAAUGAAUACUGACUUAACUUGGGAUAAGGCUUUGCCAGUUGCCUUGCUAUGGAUCAGUGGCUCCCAGAGGCAGGCUUAAAUUAAAUAAUUCAUUUAAUGACUAAUAGUGUAUGGUAGGGAGUUCCCGUCAUGGCUCAGAGGUUAACAAACCCAACUAGCAUCCAUGAAGAUGCGGGUCGAUCCCUGGCUUCGCUCAGUGGGUUAAGGACCGGUGUUGCCAUGAGCUGUGGUGUAGGUUGCAGAUGCGGCUCGGAUCCUGCGUUGCUGUGACUCUGGCAUAGGCUGGUGGCUACAGCUCCGAUUGGACCCCUAGCCUGGGAACCUCCAUAUGCUGAGGGUGUGGCCCUAAAAAGACAAAACAAAAAAUAGUGUGUGGUAGGUGUCUGCCUGAGCAGACAAAAAAAUCUAUAAAUGCCUUCAAAUUAGCAGUUGUCAGUUAUGUUAAAACUUAGAGAAGGGUCAACUAAUUUAAUUAUGUCCAAAUAAAUAGCACAGGAAUUUAGUAUAUGUAUUGGAACUGGGACCAAAUUCAAUUACAAAUUACCUACUAAUUUUGUGGUAAUUUGUUAGCGUAGCAAUAAGAAACAAAUAGAACUUAUAUCUAUGAACAAAUUUAAAUUGGUGAACAAAUUCUUUCCACAAAGGAAAGUAUAGUCCCAGAUGACUUCACUGGUAAGAUAUAUAAAAUAUUUAAGAAAGGAAUAUUAUUAACAAUCCUAUACAAAUAUUAGAAAACAGAGGAGGUGGGAACACUUCCCAACAUAGCUCAUGAGGUGUUUAAUACCAAAAUCGAACACAUCAUGAGAUGAUAAAACUACAGAACAAUAUCCAUGGUGAACACAGAUGCAAAAUUCCAAUAUGAAUUCAGUAAAAUGUAUUCAAUGACAUAUGAAAAGCAUAAUUCAUAAUGGCCAAGUGGAAUUUAUGGUAGGAAUUCAAGUUUAGCUAGUUCAAGAUGGCGACAUAGAAAGAUCCUGAACUCUCCCCCGACGGGCACACUGAGUCUACAGCUACAUAUAGAACAAUUUCCUUCUAAAAAGGCAUAAAGACUGCUAAUCCACCCUGAAGGCAACAUUCUGCAUCUAUUUACCCCAAGCUCCCAGUCCCUCCCACUCCCUUGCCUUCCCUCUUGGCAACCACAAGUCUAUUCUUCAAGUCCAUGAUUUUUUCUGUGGAAAGAUUCCUUUGUGCCAUAUAUUAGAUUAUAGAUAUAAGUGAUAACAUAUGGUAUUUGUCUUUCUUACUUCACUCAGGAUGAGAGUCUCUAGUUCCAUCCAUGUUGCUGUAAAUGGUAUUAUUUUGUUCUUUUUUAUGGCUGAGUAGUAUUCCCUUGUGUAUAUAUACCACAUCUUCCUAAUCCAAUCAUCUGUCAGUGGACAUUUGGGUUGUUUCCACAUCUUGGCUAUUAUGAAUAGUGCUGCAGUGAACAUGCGGGUGCAUUUGUCUUUUUAAAGGGGAGUUUUGUCUGGAUAUAUGCCCAAGAGUCGGAUUGCUGGGUCAUAUGGUAGUUCUAUGUAUAGAUUUCUAAGGUACCUCCCUACUGUUCUCCAUAGUGGUUGUACCAGCUUACUUUCCCACCAACAGUGCAGGAGGUUCCCUUUUCUUCACAAAUUCUGUCUAGCCACUUAUGAUGGAACAUAUAAUAUGAGAAAAAAGAAUGUAUACAUGUAAGUGUAACUGAGUCACCAUGCUGAACAGUAGAAAAA
rnacentral:lncRNA from 9 species